rnacentral:rRNA from 1 species
AGGACGAACGCUGGCGGCGUGCUUAACACAUGCAAGUCGAGCGGAAAGGCCCUUCGGGGUACUCGAGCGGCGAACGGGUGAGUAACACGUGAGUAAUCUGCCCCUAGCUCUGGGAUAGCUCCGGGAAACCGGGAUUAAUACCGGAUACGACCACUUUAGACAUCUGUUGUGGUGGAAAGAAUUUUGGCUAGGGAUGAGCUCGCGGCCUAUCAGCUUGUUGGUGGGGUAACGGCCUACCAAGGCGACGACGGGUAGCCGGCCUGAGAGGGCGACCGGCCACACUGGGACUGAGACACGGCCCAGACUCCUACGGGAGGCAGCAGUGGGGAAUAUUGCGCAAUGGGCGAAAGCCUGACGCAGCGACGCCGCGUGGGGGAUGAAGGCCUUCGGGUUGUAAACCCUUUCAGCAGGGACGAAGCGAAAGUGACGGUACCUGCAGAAAAGCGCCGGCUAACUACGUGCCAGCAGCCGC